rnacentral:rRNA from 1 species
CAGCCGCCGCGGGAAUACGUAGGGUGCGAGCGUUAAUCGGAAUUACUGGGCGUAAAGCGUGCGCAGGCGGUUAUAUAAGACAGAUGUGAAAUCCCCGGGCUCAACCUGGGACCUGCAUUUGUGACUGUAUAGCUAGAGUACGGUAGAGGGGGAUGGAAUUCCGCGUGUAGCAGUGAAAUGCGUAGAUAUGUGGAGGAACACCGAUGGCGAAGGCAAUCCCCUGGACCUGUACUGACGCUCAUGCACGAAAGCGUGGGGAGCAAACAGGAUUAGAUACCCCUGUAGUCCCUGUCUCUUAUAC